rnacentral:rRNA from 1 species
AGAAUCUGCUGAAGGAGGAUUCGUCCAACGGAAGUAGAGGAAAGUGGCGGACGGGUGAGUAACGCGUGAGGAACCUGCCUUGAAGAGGGGGACAACAGUUGGAAACGACUGCUAAUACCGCAUGAAGCAUAGGGGUCGCAUGAUUCUUAUGCCAAAGAUUUAUCGCUUCAAGAUGGCCUCGCGUCUGAUUAGCUAGUUGGCGGGGUAACGGCCCACCAAGGCGACGAUCAGUAGCCGGACUGAGAGGUUGAACGGCCACAUUGGGACUGAGAUACGGCCCAGACUCCUACGGGAGGCAGCAGUGGGGAAUAUUGGGCAAUGGGCGCAAGCCUGACCCAGCAACGCCGCGUGAAGGAAGAAGGCUUUCGGGUUGUAAACUUCUUUUAAGAGGGAAGAGCAGAAGACGGUACCUCUAGAAUAAGCCACGGCUAACUACGUGCCAGCAGCCGCGGUAAUACGUAGGUGGCAAGCGUUGUCCGGAUUUACUGGGUGUAAAGGGCGUGCAGCCGGGUCUGCAAGUCAGAUGUGAAAUCCAUGGGCUCAACCCAUGAACUGCAUUUGAAACUGUAGAUCUUGAGUGUCGGAGGGGCAAUCGGAAUUCCUAGUGUAGCGGUGAAAUGCGUAGAUAUUAGGAGGAACACCAGUGGCGAAGGCGGAUUGCUGGACGAUAACUGACGGUGAGGCGCGAAAGUGUGGGGAGCAAACAGGAUUAGAUACCCUGGUAGUCCACACUGUAAACGAUGAAUACUAGGUGUGCGGGGACUGACCCCCUGCGUGCCGCAGUAAACACAAUAAGUAUUC